UAGAGAUACAAGUGCAGGAACAUGACUGAAUGGUCAGUAUAUAAAGGGUUAGCAAGUGACCUCUGCUGUUGACUUGGCCCCUGGACUUCAGUCCAUUACCUAUCUUGCCUCUGAGCUUGGAAACCAUUAACUCUUUGGCCUAUAUUCACAGAUAAUUCAUUGCUCUUCAUUCUUUAACUUUCAGAGAUGCUGCACUGAAUGGGAUGUCGUGAUAAUCCCACAGGAUAUAAAUUACUCAUGAGCAGCAGUGUCAGUGAUGAGAGCAAUAUUAAUUUGAGGUCCAAAUGAAAUCAAAGAACGGGUUAGGUCUACCUAUGUACUAAAGAUUUCCUCUUCUGAUUCAAAGACUCUAAGUUUGGAGUUCAUUGAUCAUUUGGAAAAGAAGUCAUCUAUAAAUUCAAGACAUAUCUGAAAAGCAUAAAUGAAAUGACAUUCCUACAGAUCACUGCCAGCAAAAUGCUGAAUGAAUGCUGAGAGAAUUAAUGUGCCUUUAAAAACUUUGAGUUCCCUUAAGGAGACUGUGGCCCUUGCUCUCCUUGGGAGAUUAUUAGAGGGGCAGAUAAUCCACUGGUAAGUGCAUGACCCUUGGAGCUGCCUAGAUAAAGAAUGUGAGGGUAAGUGAUCUGUCUACAAAUGUAGUGCUGGAAAGUAGCAUAGCUGAGCUUUUUGUUUGGGAUAUCUGGAUUCAAAGCUGAUACUGUAACGUACCUUACCAUUCUGCCUUUUUACUUCUAACCUUAUCUAUUUUAGAAACAGAUUCUGGAAGUUCAAAAGGUGAUG
rnacentral:lncRNA from 12 species